CUAAUACUUUCUCUCACUAGCUAGGUGUUUUAGAGAGAGAAAGAAAGACUCUCUAUAAUAGUUUGGGAAUUCUUGAGGAGGAAUCCAAUUACAAAGCUAGCAAGGUUCCAAUGAAGCUCCACUGCCCCAUUUGGACCAUUAGAGGAAGUUGGAAUUGAGUAAGGCUUUAAUAAAUAUCGAUCAAGAGGCAGCCGGUAACUAGGUUGAGGUGUCCUCGUCGAUUCGUAUCCUUGGUAGGUAUUUUGGCAUUUCAUAGCAACACCUUCACUUUGGUCACUCUACUGGAAGCCUAGAGUCAUUUUUGUUUGUAAAUACAUACAUGUGAUGUAAAGUACUAA